rnacentral:tRNA from 1 species
UGCAUCGACCGGGAAUCGAACCCUGGCCGCCCGCGUGGCAGGCGAGCAUUCUACCACUGAACCACCGAUGC